rnacentral:rRNA from 1 species
GAUGAACGCUGGCGGCGUGCCUAAUACAUGCAAGUCGAGCGAAUGGAUUAAGAGCUUGCUCUUAUGAAGUUAGCGGCGGACGGGUGAGUAACACGUGGGUAACCUGCCCAUAAGACUGGGAUAACUCCGGGAAACCGGGGCUAAUACCGUAUAACAUUUUGAACCGCAUGGUUCGAAAUUGAAAUGCGGCUUCGGCUGUCACUUAUGGAUGGACCCGCAUCGCAUUAGCUAGUUGGUGAGGUAACGGCUCACCCAGGCAACGAUGCGUAGCCGACCUGAGAGGGUGAUCGGCCACACUGGGACUGAGACACGGCCCAGACUCCUACGGGAGGCAGCAGUAGGGAAUCUUCCGCAAUGGACGAAAGUCUGACGGAGCAACGCCGCGUGAGUGAUGAAGGCUUUCGGGUCGUAAAACUCUGUUGUUAGGGAAGAACAAGUGCUAGUUGAAUAAGCUGGCACCUUGACGGUACCUAACCAGAAAGCCACGGCUAACUACGUGCCAGCCGCCGCGGUAA